rnacentral:rRNA from 1 species
UAGUCCACGCCGUAAACGAUGGAUACUAGGUGUCCGGGAUAUUAACCUCCUGGGUACUACAGUUAACGCGUUAAGUAUCCCGCCUGGGGAGUACGGCCGCAAGGUUAAAACUCAAAUGAAUUGACGGGGGCCCGCACAAGCGGUGGAGCAUGUGGUUUAAUUCGAUGCAACGCGAAGAACCUUACCUACUCUUGACAUCCAGAGAAUUCGCUAGAGAUAGCUUAGUGCCUUCGGGAACUCUGAGACAGGUGCUGCAUGGCUGUCGUCAGCUCGUGUUGUGAAAUGUUGGGUUAAGUCCCGCAACGAGCGCAACCCUUAUCCUUAUUUGCCAGCACGUAAUGGUGGGAACUUUAGGGAGACUGCCGGUGAUAAACCGGAGGAAGGUGGGGACGACGUCAAGUCAUCAUGGCCCUUACGAGUAGGGCUACACACGUGCUACAAUGGUCGGUACAGAGGGUUGCGAAGCCGCGAGGUGGAGCUAAUCUCACAAAGCCGGUCGUAGUCCGGAUCGGAGUCUGCAACUCGA